rnacentral:rRNA from 1 species
GGUUAAGUUAGAAAGGGCGCACGGUGGAUGCCUUGGCACUAGGAGCCGAUGAAGGACGGGACGAACACCGAUAUGCUUCGGGGAGCUGUAAGCAAGCUUUGAUCCGGAGAUUUCCGAAUGGGGAAACCCACUGCUCGUAAUGGAGUAGUAUCCAUACUUGAAUACAUAGAGUAUGAGAAGGCAUACCCGGGGAACUGAAACAUCUAAGUACCCGGAGGAAGAGAAAGCAAAUGCGAUUCCCUGAGUAGCGGCGAGCGAAACGGGAACAGCCCAAACCAAGAGGCUUGCCUCUUGGGGUUGUAGGACACUCUAUACGGAGUUACAAAGGAACGAUAUAAGCGAAGAGGUCUGGAAAGGCCCGCCAAAGAAGGUAACAGCCCUGUAACUGAAAUGUUGUUCUCUCCAGAGUGGAUCCUGAGUACGGCGGAACACGUGAAAUUCCGUCGGAAUCCGGGAGGACCAUCUCCCAAGGCUAAAUACUCCCUAGUGACCGAUAGUGAACCAGUACCGUGAGGGAAAGGUGAAAAGCACCCCGGAAGGGGAGUGAAAUAGAUCCUGAAACCGUGUGCCUACAAGUAGUCAGAGCCCGUUAAAGGGUGAUGGCGUGCCUUUUGUAGAAUGAACCGGCGAGUUACGAUCCCGUGCAAGGUUAAGCAGAAGAUGCGGAGCCGCAGCGAAAGCGAGUCUGAAUAGGGCGCAUGAGUACGUGGUCGUAGACCCGAAACCAGGUGAUCUACCCAUGUCCAGGGUGAAGUUCAGGUAACACUGAAUGGAGGCCCGAACCCACGCACGUUGAAAAGUGCGGGGAUGAGGUGUGGGUAGGGGUGAAAUGCCAAUCGAACCUGGAGAUAGCUGGUUCUCUCCGAAAUAGCUUUAGGGCUAGCCUCAAGGUAAGAGUCUCGGAGGUAGAGCACUGAUUGGACUAGGGGCCCCUACCGGGUUACCGAAUUCAGUCAAACUCCGAAUGCCGAUGACUUAUCCUUGGGAGUCAGACUGCGAGUGAUAAGAUCCGUAGUCGAAAGGGAAACAGCCCAGACCGCCAGCUAAGGUCCCAAAGUAUACGUUAAGUGGAAAAGGAUGUGGAGUUGCUUAGACAACCAGGAUGUUGGCUUAGAAGCAGCCACCAUUUAAAGAGUGCGUAAUAGCUCACUGGUCGAGUGACUCUGCGCCGAAAAUGUACCGGGGCUAAACGUAUCACCGAAGCUGCGGACUGUUCUCNNNNNNNNNNNNNNNNNNNNNNNNNNNNNNNNNNNNNNNNNNNNNNNNNNNNNNNNNNNNNNNNNNNNNNNNNNNNNNNNNNNNNNNNNNNUGUUCUCCACGAACAGUGGUAGGAGAGCGUUCUAAGUGCUGUGAAGUCAGACCGGAAGGACUGGUGGAGCGCUUAGAAGUGAGAAUGCCGGUAUGAGUAGCGAAAGACGGGUGAGAAUCCCGUCCACCGAAUGCCUAAGGUUUCCUGAGGAAGGCUCGUCCGCUCAGGGUUAGUCGGGACCUAAGCCGAGGCCGAAAGGCGUAGGCGAUGGACAACAGGUUGAUAUUCCUGUACCACCUCCUCACCAUUUGAGCAAUGGGGGGACGCAGGAGGAUAGGGUAAGCGCGGUAUUGGAUAUCCGCGUCCAAGCAGUUAGGCUGGGAAAUAGGCAAAUCCGUUUCCCGUGAAGGCUGAGCUGUGAUGGCGAGCGAAAUUUAGUAGCGAAGUUCCUGAUUCCACACUGCCAAGAAAAGCCUCUAGCGAGGUGAGAGGUGCCCGUACCGCAAACCGACACAGGUAGGCGAGGAGAGAAUCCUAAGGUGAUCGAGAGAACUCUCGUUAAGGAACUCGGCAAAAUGACCCCGUAACUUCGGGAGAAGGGGUGCUUCUUAGGGUGUUAAAGCCCCGAGAAGCCGCAGUGAAUAGGCCCAGGCGACUGUUUAGCAAAAACACAGGUCUCUGCGAAGCCGUAAGGCGAAGUAUAGGGGCUGACGCCUGCCCGGUGCUGGAAGGUUAAGAGGAGCGCUUAGCGUAAGCGAAGGUGCGAAUUGAAGCCCCAGUAAACGGCGGCCGUAACUAUAACGGUCCUAAGGUAGCGAAAUUCCUUGUCGGGUAAGUUCCGACCCGCACGAAAGGCGCAACGAUCUGGGCACUGUCUCAACGAGAGACUCGGUGAAAUUAUAGUACCUGUGAAGAUGCAGGUUACCCGCGACAGGACGGAAAGACCCCGUGGAGCUUUACUGCAGCCUGAUAUUGAAUGUUGGUACAGCUUGUACAGGAUAGGUAGGAGCCUUGGAAACCGGAGCGCUAGCUUCGGUGGAGGCAUCGGUGGGAUACUACCCUGGCUGUAUUGACCUUCUAACCCGCUGCCCUUAUCGGGCAGGGAGACAGUGUCAGGUGGGCAGUUUGACUGGGGCGGUCGCCUCCUAAAAUGUAACGGAGGCGCCCAAAGGUUCCCUCAGAAUGGUUGGAAAUCAUUCGCAGAGUGUAAAGGCACAAGGGAGCUUGACUGCGAGACCUACAAGUCGAGCAGGGACGAAAGUCGGGCUUAGUGAUCCGGUGGUUCCGCAUGGAAGGGCCAUCGCUCAACGGAUAAAAGCUACCCCGGGGAUAACAGGCUUAUCUCCCCCAAGAGUCCACAUCGACGGGGAGGUUUGGCACCUCGAUGUCGGCUCAUCGCAUCCUGGGGCUGUAGUCGGUCCCAAGGGUUGGGCUGUUCGCCCAUUAAAGCGGUACGCGAGCUGGGUUCAGAACGUCGUGAGACAGUUCGGUCCCUAUCCGUCGCGGGCGCAGGAAAUUUGAGAGGAGCUGUCCUUAGUACGAGAGGACCGGGAUGGACGCACCGCUGGUGUACCAGUUGUUCUGCCAAGGGCAUCGCUGGGUAGCUAUGUGCGGACGGGAUAAGUGCUGAAAGCAUCUAAGCAUGAAGCCCCCCUCAAGAUGAGAUUUCCCAUUCCGCAAGGAAGUAAGAUCCCUGAAAGAUGAUCAGGUUGAUAGGUCUGAGGUGGAAGCGUGGUGACACGUGGAGCUGACAGAUACUAAUAGAUCGAGGACUUAACCUA